rnacentral:rRNA from 1 species
UUGCAGUUAAAAAGCUCGUAGUUGGACCUUGGGCCGGGCCGGCCGGUCCGCCUCACGGCGAGCACCGACCUGCUCGACCCUUCUGCCGGCGAUGCGCUCCUGGCCUUAACUGGCCGGGUUGUGCCUUCGGCGCCGUUACUUUGAAGAAAUUAGAGUGC